CAGCCGCCGCGGUAAUACGGAGGGUGCAAGCGUUAAUCGGAAUUACUGGGCGUAAAGCGCACGCAGGCGGUUUGUUAAGUCAGAUGUGAAAUCCCCGAGCUUAACUUGGGAACUGCAUUUGAAACUGGCAAGCUAGAGUCUCGUAGAGGGGGGUAGAAUUCCAGGUGUAGCGGUGAAAUGCGUAGAGAUCUGGAGGAAUACCGGUGGCGAAGGCGGCCCCCUGGACAAAGACUGACGCUCAGGUGCGAAAGCGUGGGGAGCAAACAGGAUUAGAUACCCCAGUAGUCCCUGUCUCUUAUAA
rnacentral:rRNA from 1 species